rnacentral:rRNA from 1 species
CGCGUAGGCGGCUUUUUAAGUCUGGAGUGAAAGUCCUGCUUUCAAGGUGGGAAUUGCUUUGGAUACUGGAGAGCUUGAGUGCGGAAGAGGUAAGUGGAAUUCCCAGUGUAGCGGUGAAAUGCGUAGAGAUUGGGAGGAACACCAGUGGCGAAGGCGACUUACUGGGCCGUAACUGACGCUGAGGCGCGAAAGCGUGGGGAGCAAACA